UGCACGUGUGUUUCCUGUGCGUUCGUACAGCUAUAAAACGCGAGUUCGGUCUGCAAUUUACUGAGCACUUCUGAAUAGGGGACCCUCUGGAAACAACUAAGCGUCUGCUAUUCUUUAGAUUUACCAGAAAAAUAACCAUGCAGCUGAAAGUGAUCCUUGUGGGAUUGGCCAUCUUUGGUCUCAUUGUGGCAGAGAGCUGUGCCAUGCCUGCCAGCAGCUCCAAUGAAGCCGAGGCCAGGGCUGAUCCCGAGACUGCAGAGCGUACCGAGCAGACCAACGCCGAGGAGGCACGUGUCGGCACGAAAUGCAUAGAAACCCUGUGCGGGUAGUAGCCCCAUGCAAGAGAGCGACACGUUCGA